rnacentral:rRNA from 1 species
CCCAGACUCCUACGGGAGGCAGCAGUGGGGAAUAUUGCACAAUGGGGGAAACCCUGAUGCAGCGACGCCGCGUGAGUGAAGAAGUAUUUCGGUAUGUAAAGCUCUAUCAGCAGGGAAGAAAAUGACGGUACCUGACUAAGAAGCCCCGGCUAACUACGUGCCAGCAGCCGCGGUAAUACGUAGGGGGCAAGCGUUAUCCGGAAUCACUGGGUGUAAAGGGAGCGUAGACGGUGAUGCAAGUCAGAAGUGAAAGCCCGGGGCUCAACUCCGGGACUGCUUUUGAAACUGUGUGACUGGAGUGCAGGAGAGGUAAGCGGAAUUCCUGGUGUAGCGGUGAAAUGCGUAGAUAUUAGGAGGAACACCAGUGGCGAAGGCGGCUUACUGGACUGUAACUGACGUUGAGGCUCGAAAGCGUGGGGAGCAAACAGGAUUAGAUACCCCCGUAC